UGGGGAAUAUUGGACAAUGGGCGCAAGCCUGAUCCAGCCAUGCCGCGUGAGUGAUGACGGCCCUAGGGUUGUAAAGCUCUUUUACCUGGGAAGAUAAUGACGGUACCAUGAGAAUAAGCCCCGGCUAACUUCGUGCCAGCAGCCGCGGUAAUACGAAGGGGGCUAGCGUUGUUCGGAAUCACUGGGCGUAAAGCGCACGUAGGCGGACGCUUAAGUCAGGGGUGAAAUCCCGAGGCUCAACCUCGGAACUGCCUUUGAUACUGGGUGUCUUGAGUCCGGGAGAGGUGAGUGGAACUGCGAGUGUAGAGGUGAAAUUCGUAGAUAUUCGCAAGAACACCAAAGGCGAAAGCACUCUGCUGGGCCGAGACUGACACUGAGGGACGAAAGCUAGGGGAGCGAAAG
rnacentral:rRNA from 1 species